rnacentral:rRNA from 1 species
CGAACGCUGGCGGCGUGCCUAAUACAUGCAAGUCGAGCGGACCGACGGGAGCUUGCUCCCCUUAGGUCAGCGGCGGACGGGUGAGUAACACGUGGGUAACCUGCCUGUAAGACUGGGAUAACUCCGGGAAACCGGGGCUAAUACCGGAUGCUUGAUUGAACCGCAUGGUUCAAUCAUAAAAGGUGGCUUUUAGCUACCACUUGCAGAUGGACCCGCGGCGCAUUAGCUAGUUGGUGAGGUAACGGCUCACCAAGGCGACGAUGCGUAGCCGACCUGAGAGGGUGAUCGGCCACACUGGGACUGAGACACGGCCCAGACUCCUACGGGAGGCAGCAGUAGGGAAUCUUCCGCAAUGGACGAAAGUCUGACGGAGCAACGCCGCGUGAGUGAUGAAGGUUUUCGGAUCGUAAAACUCUGUUGUUAGGGAAGAACAAGUACCGUUCGAAUAGGGCGGUACCUUGACGGUACCUAACCAGAAAGCCACGGCUAACUACGUGCCAGCAGCCGCGGUAAUACGUAGGUGGCAAGCGUUGUCCGGAAUUAUUGGGCGUAAAGCGCGCGCAGGCGGUUUCUUAAGUCUGAUGUGAAAGCCCCCGGCUCAACCGGGGAGGGUCAUUGGAAACUGGGGAACUUGAGUGCAGAAGAGGAGAGUGGAAUUCCACGUGUAGCGGUGAAAUGCGUAGAGAUGUGGAGGAACACCAGUGGCGAAGGCGACUCUCUGGUCUGUAACUGACGCUGAGGCGCGAAAGC